rnacentral:rRNA from 1 species
AUUGAACGCUGGCGGCAGGCCUAACACAUGCAAGUCGAGCGGAUGAGAGGAGCUUGCUUCUUGAUUCAGCGGCGGACGGGUGAGUAAUGCCUAGGAAUCUGCCUGGUAGUGGGGGACAACGUUUCGAAAGGAACGCUAAUACCGCAUACGUCCGACGGGAGAAAGCAGGGGACCUUCGGGCCGUGCGCUAUCAGAUGAGCCUAGGUCGGAUUAGCUAGUUGGUGAGGUAAUGGCUCACCAAGGCGACGAUCCGUAACUGGUCUGAGAGGAGGAUCAGUCACACUGGAACUGAGACACGGUCCAGACUCCUACGGGAGGCAGCAGUGGGGAAUAUUGGACAAUGGGCGAAAGCCUGAUCCAGCCAUGCCGCGUGUGUGAAGAAGGUCUUCGGAUUGUAAAGCACUUUAAGUUGGGAGGAAGGGUUGUACGUUAAUACCGUGCAAUUUUGACGUUACCGACAGAAUAAGCACCGGCUAACUCUGUGCCAGCCGCCGCCGUAA